UACGGGGGAGCAAGCGUUGUUCGGAUUUACUGGGCGUAAAGGGCGCGUAGGCGGUCAGCACAAGUCAGUUGUGAAAUCUCCGGGCUUAACUCGGAAAGGUCAACUGAUACUGUGCGACUAGAGUGCGGUAGGGGAGACUGGAAUUCCUGGUGUAGCGGUGAAAUGCGCAGAUAUCAGGAGGAACACCGGUGGCGAAGGCGGGUCUCUGGGCCGUAACUGACGCUGAGGAGCGAAAGCAUGGGGAGCGAACAGG
rnacentral:rRNA from 1 species